rnacentral:lncRNA from 1 species
AUCUAUACUGUAAAUAUUAACCUUAACUUCCUUUCUAAUUUAGAAUUCUCUUACUUGCAGAGAAAACUCAACAUCAUAGCCAUAAAAUCUGGACCCUGAGGCAAACAUUUUGAUCAAUGGUCAGCAGAUAAGAGAGGAAAGUAGGAUGAGGAUUUAACUGAAGUGGAUAUUAUCAGUAAAUGGAAUGUUACAGAAAGGUUGACAUCACUUGCAGACACCAUGCCGGCCUGAAGUCAGAAGUACAAAGAACGAAACUGUCUCUACUUUCAAGGAUGUUAUAUUAUGAUGGAGGGCAUAAUGGAGGACUUGAACUAUGCUUCUUCUUGAAAGGACAAUACGUACAAUGAAUCUGAAAUAAAGUUGAAAAUCAGGACCAGAUCAACACCCAAUGCUUCAUCAUACUGUACAGUUGACUUUGGACUGUCAAAAGCUAAGCCAGGAAGGCAAGUUGAAGGAGGUUCUACAAUAAUGAAAAAGUUUUAAAAUCACCCCAACAAUCAAAUUCCAAGGACCAACCUACUUAAGUACAAAGAGGUUCAUUACCAGCUGACUGGCCACUUGGGUGAUUAAUUCUUUAGUCAUAACAAUAUGUAAAAUAAAGAUAAAUAUGCAAUAGUCA